AGGAUCUAUUAAUACCUUAACUAGAUUUUUAGAGACAAGAUACAACCUUGAACGAUGUUUGGAUUCACUUCGGCAUCCGAUGUAGUAAGGGUAUACACUCGUCCCCGUUUUGGAGUUCCUAUCUGUUUCUCCAUAAGUGGGCAAUUACAAAUCAUAUGUUAUUGACUACUACAUUUGAAAUAGGACCGAGUGAUACAAUGCCAUGGCUAGUUGCCAUGAUUCUUCUUACAAUUAGGGCAUGCUGGUGCUUUACUUAGUGCUAAUGAUGGGCUAAGAGGUGUUUCUGUUGUCAUUCUAGGCAUUUUU
rnacentral:lncRNA from 1 species